rnacentral:rRNA from 1 species
CAGCCGCCGCGGUAAAACCAGCACCUCAAGUGGUCAGGAUGAUUAUUGGGCCUAAAGCAUCCGUAGCCCGUUUUGUAAGUUUUCGGUUAAAUCCAUGCGCUUAACGUAUGGGCUGCCGGGAAUACUGCAUAACUAGGAAGUGGGAGAGGUAGACGGUACUCGGUAGGAAGGGGUAAAAUCCUUUGAUCUAUUGAUGACCACCUGUGGCGAAGGCGGUCUACCAGAACACGUUCGACGGUGAGGGAUGAAAGCUGGGGGAGCAAACCGGAUUAGAUACCCGGGUAGUCCCAGCUGUAAACUAUGCAAACUCAGUGAUGCAUUGGCUUAUGGCCAAUGCAGUGCUGCAGGGAAGCCGUUAAGUUUGCCGCCUGGGAAGUACGUACGCAAGUAUGAAACUUAAAGGAAUUGGCGGAGGAGCACCA